UACGGAAGGCAGCAGUGGGGAAUAUUGGACAAUGGGCGAAAGCCUGAUCCAGCCAUGCCGCAUGAGUGAAGAAGGCCUUCGGGUUGUAAAGCUCUUUUAGUGAGAAAGAUAAUGACGGUACUCACAGAAGAAGUCCUGGCUAACUCCGUGCCAGCAGCCGCGGUAAUACGGAGAGGGCUAGCGUUAUUCGGAAUUAUUGGGCGUAAAGAGCGCGUAGGCUGAUUAGUAAGUUAAAAGUGAAAUCCCAAAGCUUAACUUUGGAAUUGCUUUUUAAAAACUGCUAGUCUAGAGAUUGAAAGAGGAUAGAGGAAUUCCUAGUGUAGAGGUGAAAAUUCGUAAAUAUUAGGAGGAACACCAAGUGGCGAAAGGCGUCUAUCUGGUUCAAAUCUGACGCUGAGGCGCGAAGGCGUGGGGAGCAAAACAGGGAUUGAAUACC
rnacentral:rRNA from 1 species